ACUGGCUUGCACCUGUGCUUCACUGACACCUGCGCCAAGGUUCCAAGGCUCCUCUUCUCUCUCUGUCCCUCUCAAUUCAACUGUAUAACUAGGAAUAUUAUUCUUUCCUUCUUCCACUCUUCUUCUUUCCUUCUUCCACUCUUCUUUCCUUCUUCCACUCUUCUUUCUUUUUCUUUCCUUCUUCCACUUCUUUCCUUCUUUCACUCUUCUUUCCUUUCUUCACUCUUCUUUCCUUUCUUCUUUCCUUUCUUCCACUCUUCUUUCCUUUCUUCUUUCCUUCUUCACUCUUCUUUCCUUUCUUCUUUCCUUCUUCCACUCUUCUUUCUUUCUUUCCUUCUUCCACUUCUUUCCUUCUUUCACUCUUCUUUCCUUUCUUCACUCUUCUUUCUUUCUUCUUUCCUUUCUUCCACUUCUUUCCUUUCUUCUUUCCUUCUUUCACUCUUCUUUCCUUUCUUCUUUCCUUCUUCCACUUUUCUUUCCUUUCUUCACUCUUUUUUUCCUUUCUUCUUUCCUUCUUCCACUCUUCUUUCCUUCUUCACUCUUCUUUCCUUCUUCUUUCUUCUUCCACUCUUCUUUCCUUCUUCCACUUCUUCCUUUCUCUUUCUUCACUCUUUUUUCUUUUCUUCUUUCCUUCUUCUACUCUUCUUUCUUUCUUCCACUCUUCUUUCUUUUCUUCUUUCCUUCUUCCACUCUUCUUUCUUUCCUUCUUCCACUCGUCUUUCCUUCUUUUACGCUUCUUUCCUUCUUCCACUCUUCUUUCCUUUCACUCUUCUUUCCUUCUUUCACUGCUUUCCUUCUUCCACUCUUAUUUCACUCUUCUUUCCUUCUUCCACUCUUUCAUUCUCUUUCCUACUUUCACUUAUUCUCUCCCUCUGUAGAACCUCCAUCCACUUGUUUUUUCUAUCCCUCUCCAACUCCUUUUUCUCACACUCCAUCUCUCUGCUUCAGUCCAUUUUCUCUCAAUCCUUUCCCUCUUCUCUCUUUCUCGUCACUCCUGUUCACUUUUCUUUCCUUUCUUCUUAUAAUCACUCUGUCCAUCAAUUAUUUAUUGUCAGCUUUCUAGCAACCAGCAUAGCAAUCUUCAAUUACCAUAGCAACCACCAUGUGGGAAUUGAUGGACAGAGUGAUCUUCAUGACAACCCGAGCAACCAGCACAGCAACACAUACUAUGACAUCCCAGCAACAUGA
rnacentral:lncRNA from 1 species